rnacentral:rRNA from 1 species
CCUACGGGUGGCUUCAGUGAGGAAUAUUGGUCAAUGGUCGGGAGACUGAACCAGCCAAGCCGCGUGAGGGAGGAAGGUACAGAGUAUCGUAAACCUCUUUUGUCAGGGAACAAAGACUGGGAUGCGUACCCGGAUGAGAGUACCUGACGAAAAAGCAUCGGCUAACUCCGUGCCAGCAGCCGCGGUAAUACGGAGGAUGCGAGCGUUAUCCGGUUUAAUUGGGGUUAAAGGGUGCGCAGGCGGUCUGUUAAGUCAGCGGUAAAAGCCCGGGGUUCAACCCCGGCCCGCCGUUGAAACUGGCAGUCUCGAGUUGGAGAGAAGUAUGCGGAAUGCGCGGUGUAGCGGUGAAAUGCAUAGAUAUCGCGCAGAACUCCGAUUGCGAAGGCAGCAUGCCGGCUCCACACUGACGCUGAGGCACGAAAGCGUGGGUAUCGAACAGGAUUAGAUACCCCUGUAGUC